rnacentral:rRNA from 1 species
CAGUAGCCGCGGUAAAACGGAGGGUGCAAGCGUUAAUCGGAAUUACUGGGCGUAAAGCGCACGCAGGCGGUCUGACAAGUCAGAUGUGAAAUCCCCGGGCUUAACCUGGGAACUGCAUUUGAAACUGUCAGGCUGGAGUCUUGUAGAGGGGGGUAGAAUUCCAGGUGUAGCGGUGAAAUGCGUAGAGAUCUGGAGGAAUACCGGUGGCGAAGGCGGCCCCCUGGACAAAGACUGACGCUCAGGUGCGAAAGCGUGGGGAGCAAACAGGAUUAGAUACCCCAGUAGUCCCUGUCUCUUUACA